GAAGGUGGCCUGUGAGGGUUGCUGGAGGUAUCAGAAGUGCGAAUGCUGACAUAAGUAACGAUAAAGCGGGUGAAAAGCCCGCUCGCCGGAAGACCAAGGGUUCCUGUCCAACGUUAAUCGGGGCAGGGUGAGUCGACCCCUAAGGCGAGGCCGAAAGGCGUAGUCGAUGGGAAACGGGUUAAUAUUCCCGUACUUGGUGUUACUGCGAAGGGGGGACGGAGAAGGCUAUGUUGGCCGGGCGACGGUUGUCCCGGUUUAAGCGUGUAGGUGUGUGUUCCAGGUAAAUCCGGUUCACUUUAACACUGAGGCGUGACGACGAGGCACUACGGUGCUGAAGCAACAAAUGCCCUGCUUCCAGGAAAAGCCUCUAAGCAUCAGGUAACAUCAAAUCGUACCCCAAACCGACACAGGUGGUCAGGUAGAGAAUACCAAGGCGCUUGAGAGAACUCGGGUGAAGGAACUAGGCAAAAUGGUGCCGUAA
rnacentral:rRNA from 1 species